rnacentral:lncRNA from 1 species
CGAGGUGUGCUGGCUUCCUAAGCAUAAUAAAAAGAAAUUGAGUGAAUGUCAAUACCAGUGCCAUUGUUGCUUGCCUCUUACCUGCACGUGCCUCCGCGGCAUAUUUGUGCAGAAGU